GGGCCGCACCCACUCAGCGCGGCUCCCAAAGUUGCAGACGGCUCGGCCGGCCGCGCGGUGCGCUGCGUCUGCGCCGCGCAGAGAGAAGUAAAGAAAACUCCGGGGGCUCUGCUGGCUUCUUCGCGAGUGACCGCGAUGCUUCCCCAGAUGGAAGACCGGAGCCCUGCUCCUCUGCGAUCCGCCGAGGGCUGCAGGGAGCAUCCUCAUCCAUUUGGGCACCCCCGUCCAGGACGAGCCCGGCCAUCCCUGUCCAGCCUGGAUCCUUGAGAGGUGGAUUUUCUUCUGUGAUUCCGUUUGCUCGGUCUGACCAGCCUGGGCAAAACAGCAUCGCGUGGAACCAGUGCCGCUGGGCACGCUAGCUUCACGCCGGCUCCGCCUCGCCAGCAAGCGCGUUCCCAGGUGGUCAGGCUCAGGAUGGACCAUGAGGUUUCAAAAAGGAGAAAGGUGGAAAUUCUCAGCUAUGCUGCCAUCUGAAUAAAUGUUUCUUUGCAGCAUGCAGAGUCAAGGAAAAUUACAUCUCUGCGUUAUGUAAUGUACCAAUGCACUUACCCACUGUUUUAAUCUAGGUUAUUCUUGAAAGCAGAGCUUGAGACAAAGGUAGACAGUAGACACAUUCUAUUUAUGAGUCUAAUACCAAGCAGCAGGAAUGAGAGACAGGGGAGUGAACGUGGGGAAAGGGAAAGUAAGUCCAAGCAAAACCAGAUACUGGUGUUAUCAAGUGGUCUGCUCCUAUUAAUGGCUACAUAAUGCAGGACUUUCUCAGGAUUCUUCUUAAACUUUAUCUCAGAACUGUCUUCCUCAGGGAGAAUGGAGAAGUAUUUCUCCAUCAGCAGCCACAUCCUGUGUGUUGAGGGCUGCUCCUUUGGGGCAUUAACCCACUACCCCUGGCCCCAUCCCUCUGGGCUGCAAGGAGCUGAGAGCCCAGCUGGUACCACAGCAUCACACAUUACUGCAUUAGAGAGGUCUUAAGACAGGAAGCUAGAGUCUUGGUGCAUGCUUGAAGUGAGACAGUGUUAGCACAGAGCAGGGGAAAACCUUCCAUAACUGUUCACCAGUGCUAUGACUGGAAUCAGAGGUUGAAAAGAUGUGAGACUAUACACAAGAAGCAUCUUAUAAGCCUACAUAAUAUACUGUUAGACUCAUCUAAAUCUGUUUCCUUCCUUCUUUAUAAUCAAAACUUUAGUGACCAGAAUAAGGUUGGCAGAGGGUUAAAUAGGAAAGUUAAAUGUAUUAGAAAGUAUACAUUGCUAAGUUUUAACCUUGAGUCAUGUUCAAGGAAAAAGUGACACUGGAACUUGGAAAAUUAAAAAAAUGAUUCUACUUGAAAAAUUUGACCAUUGCAUAGAAAUAUUAGCUAUUGUCUAAUUUUUUGUAAUCUCAGAAACAAUCAUGAAUUGUUUGGUGAAAAAUGAAAAAAAUAAAUUUAAUCAUUUCUUGUGUCUCCGUGAGCUUUAUAGACCAAUGUCACUAACUUUUCCUAAAAUAAUUAUUUCCUACUGCCAAAUAGCUCUAGUGAUACAAAGCUUACAACCAAUGAAGGGAAAACCAAUAGAAACGUAGGAAGAAAAAUACUGGGAUAAUUUUCAUCACAUAAAGUGUUGUCAUUAAUAUUGGUUGGAAUGGGGGGGAACUGCAUGACUUAGCAUGACAUUCCUGUAUGUUGAAUGAAACUCUGUCUUAACAGAAAUAGCAAUGUCAUCAUCGUCCUCUCUUACUUGAUCUUGAAUUGCCACCAUUCAGAUAAAACCUUUGAAUUAUUUAACUCAA